AUGAGUAAUCAUUUGUCUGAUCCAAAUUUUGAAAUGAGUAAUCAUUUGAUUACUCAUUUCAAAAUUUGGAUCAGACAAAUGAGCAUAACAU
rnacentral:pre_miRNA from 15 species